GACGAACGCUGGCGGCGUGCCUAAUACAUGCAAGUCGAGCGGACGGACGAGAACUUUGCUUCACACCUGCAACCGGCGACCGGGUGAUUAACCCGUGGCAAACUUACUUUAAAGCCGGGAAAACCCCCGGAAAACCGUACCAAAUACCGGAUAAUCUUUUGAACAGCAUGGGUCAAACGUGAAAAACGCUCUUGCUGUUCCUUAUAGAUGGAUCCGCGCUGCAUUAGCUAGUUGGUAAGGUAACGGCUUACCAAGGCAACGAUGCAUAGCCGACCUGAGAGGGUGAUCGGCCACACUGGAACUGAGACACGGUCCAGACUCCUACGGGAGGCAGCAGUAGGGAAUCUUCCGCAAUGGGCGAAAGUCUGACGGAGCAACGCCGCGUGAGUGAUGAAGGUUUUCGGAUCGUAAAACUCUGUUGUUAGGGAAGAACAUAUGUCUAAGUAACUGUGCACAUCUUGACGGUACCUAAUCAGAAAGCCACGGCUAACUACGUG
rnacentral:rRNA from 1 species